UGUUGAAACAGCAGUUCCUAUAUGAUCACCAAAGUUAAGCAACAUCAAACCUGGUCAGUACCUAGAUGGGUGACUGCUUGGGAAUACCAGAUGCUGUAAG